UACGUAGGGUGCGAGCGUUGUCCGGAUUUAUUGGGCGUAGAGAGCUCGUAGGCGGUUUGUCGCGUCGGCCGUGAAAUCUCCACGCUUAACGUGGAGCGUGCGGUCGAUACGGGCAGACUUGAGUUCGGUAGGGGAGACUGGAAUUCCUGGUGUAGCGGUGAAAUGCGCAGAUAUCAGGAGGAACACCGGUGGCGAAGGCGGGUCUCUGGGCCGAUACUGACGCUGAGGAGCGAAAGCGUGGGGAGCGAACAGG
rnacentral:rRNA from 1 species